UCAAAAGUGAUAGGGCCGUUA
rnacentral:siRNA from 1 species